rnacentral:rRNA from 1 species
CCUACGGGGUGCAGCAGUGGGGAAUAUUGCACAAUGGGGGAAACCCUGAUGCAGCGACGCCGCGUGAGUGAAGAAGUAUUUCGGUAUGUAACGCUCUGUCAGCAGGGAAGAAAAUGACGGUACCUGACCAAGAAGCCCCGGCUAACUACGUGCCAGCAGCCGCGGUAAUACGUAGGGGGCAAGCGUUAUCCGGAUUUACUGGGUGUAACGGGAGCGUAGACGGCAGGGCAAGUCUGGAGGGAAAGGCGGGGGCUCAACCCCCGGACUGCUCGGGAAACUGCCAGGCUGGAGUGCAGGAGAGGUAAGUGGAAUUCCUAGUGUAGCGGUGAAAUGCGUAGAUAUUAGGAGGAACACCAGUGGCGAAGGCGGCUUACUGGACUGUAACUGACGUUGAGGCUCGAAAGCGUGGGUAGCAAACAGGAUUAGAUACCCCGGUAGUC